rnacentral:rRNA from 1 species
GGCCAUUGUGUCGAUGAAGAACGUACAAGUUGCGAAAAGUACUGUGACAUGCAAAACUCGUGAAUCAUCUAAUCUUCGAACACAGACAAUGCUUCACUUCUUCGGGAGGCGAAGCGCUUGCUUGUGAGUGCCAGCCAUACACUACUCAAAGGACGUGAGCUUGCUCUCUUCCAUCGGU